UCACGUGGUUUUCUUCGCGUGGCAAACCAUCUCCCUGAACAAUAUUGCUCCAAUACUUUGACUUUAAAUGUCGUCAAUGUUUGUGUAUGUUUGUGCAAGGCAAGUUCUGCUCUAGAGAGUUCUGGUGAUCCACCAAAGGGCAGCUAAGAGUUCCUGACAGAAUUUCCACAAAUGUGACUGACUUAUGACGAAACAUGGGGGGAAAAUAAUCACUCGGAGGGAAAGGUAACAUUUUCAGCCGGGGGGUAACGAGCUCGGCGUGGGUAUUGGUAGACUUUUGCUUCGUGGGGACAGGCUGGGCCGGUCGUUGGGUCGAGCUGCUACGAUGUGCGCCUGCUGCUCCGCGGAGCUCCGUUGGGGACGGGAACCUUUCGCCGGAUGAUGGACAGGAACUACCCGAGCUCCAGCUUUUCGGACGCGCUGGCUCCUCCAGCACAGACCGUAGCUUCGUGGGCCUAUGAGCGCGACUCGGCUACCAUCAAACCAAGUUAUGGUUCCACGCUCCUUGAUGGAGAGCUCCUCCAGCAGCAGAGUUAUGCUCCCUCACACCAGCUUCCUUCAUACAGUACCUCACACAUCCCUGCUGGAGCAGGAACACUUGAGUCAGGCAGCAGCUCCACUGUGACCUCAGUCAUGAGCUUCCUGUCAGCCUCGGAGUCGAGAAGUCUUCAGGCUGGUCCUGCUAGUGCCUCAUUGCUUCCUCCUUUUAGACCUCCAUCGUGGACUUCUGGCACCAACACCUCCACCACAGACCUGUACUUGGCCAGUCCUUUGCCCUCUACAGCCACUUUUCCCUCUCCUGCUGCUCUGUCAUCAUAUCAGCACACAGGUGCCUACUCUUCCAGGAACUAUGCCACCAGCGCCUCUCUGUCUCUUCAGGAUCCUGCUUUCACGGCUUCCAACAAUGGCCUUUUUUCCCACCACGAUCACUUGCUUCAUCUCAAAUCUAGCCAAACUGUGCUUCCCACUGCCUUGGCCUUCAAUCAUCUCUCUGCCUCACCUCUAGGUUCAGCUCUUCCUGUGCAGUCCUCAACUUACCGCUCAGCCCAGGAGUCAGCGCCUCAUCUCCUGCAACCCCAAUUUAGCUUACUUCCCUCGGCGUUGCCCUCUCCUCACGGUGCUGCGCAGCCUUACGGGGCUACGGUUUUCUCCGGCUCUAUUGAAAGAGCUUUACAGCGUGAAUGUAGUGUAAUCAAACACCAUCAGAGGCCUUCAAGUGGCCACGCGCCCUCGGAGCAGUUGCCCAGUUCUGAGCACUCGCUACAGGGGUACUUUGGCCCAAGCGAUGAAGCAGAUGUGUCUUACCAGCAAGAUAAUAACAGCCCAGUGUCCAGCAGCCCCUCCACAACUGCAAACUCCAGCCAAGGUGUUUGCAGUUCCCCACAACCCAAAAGUGAUUGUGUUACACAAACGUAUUCCUCCACAUCAUUGCUGAAACCCGGGGACAGCUCCUUCAAACUUGCUCCGUCCUCAGAAAGGAAUAAAGACAUUCACUCUUUGAACCUGAAAGUAGGUUCUCCUGAGCAUUACUCCUCCGAUGACAAGGAAAACUCAUUGAUUGCUAAUCAACAGGCAGUCCAGCUAUCUAACCUGAUAGCUGACAGUUUGCCUCAAACCUACAUCGCUGCGCUCUCGCAGUCGCAGAGCUCGCAUUCUCCUCCAGAUAAACUCUCUUCUGUUUACACUACUUUGUCUUCCCUCUCAAGCCACUCAGAAAACAUUGCUUCUGUUAGCCAAAAUCUAGCUUACUCAUCCAAUCUUGGCCAGGAAGUUCAUUAUGGAGCGCAUGUCCAGACCUUGUGUCAAGAUGGUCCCACUGGAAGAUACCCCACAUCCCACUCUCAGGAUGCAUCUAGUUUUAGUUUUACAUCUCAGGAGCAGUCUUUAGUUUCUCAGUCGCAAAGCUUCUCUUCGGGUCAGACACUUAACUCAUCAUACCCAUUAACGUGUGGACAGACUCUUCCCACAUCAAAUUCCACCUUGGACUUUAGCCGUGUGCAAGAUUCGGAGGGAGCCAAAGCCCAUGAUGUUUUAUCCCAGACACAGACACAAAAUGUUUUGCCUUCACUGCUGCCUACCUACUCCUCAACUCAAACCUUACAAAAUGGGAUUGGCUCCUCCGUACAGGACAUAAAGCCAACAUACGGCAAAGAAAAAAUGGAAGAGCUUCCCUUCCAGGAUAUGGAGGCUCUACGGCAGACUUCCAUGGUUUCUGCCAACAGUAUGGCCUCUCAUAACAUUGUUUAUGUUGUUUCAAAAAUAGACGAACACAAGUCACAAAGUGUUAUUCGAAGUAACUCGUGUGAUGAACACCUCAUGGUACUUAAUCAAACAAAUGUAGCAGAGGCGAAGGAGGAAUUGAUGGGUUCCGUGAGCCAAAACCAAAUACAUUUAGGUAACAACAAUGCUAUCGACACAAAGUCCACAACCUCCAUUGUUGUGCCCUCGCUUUUACCCCUUUGCCCAGAGCAGCUCAAGCAGUCCCCUCCCCAGCUUCAACCAGAGCUUCAUCAGCAAAACCAACAUACUCAAAGCCAAAAUCUGGCAGUGCACACACAGUUCAUCACAGUCCCCAGCAACAAGGUUCUUCUCGAGUCGAAUCAGAUGAUUUUUGUACAGCAGCCUCUGGUUCACCAGACUCGGAAUAACUCAAAGUUGAUAUCUUUGCAAGGUUUCCAGCCCGCUCACAGUUUGGGUCCAGUCCACGUUCAGUACCUUCAGAUGGAUCGAGACCUGCUCGGACCCACUAUUUCAGAACCACAGGGUCAGCAGGGAACCACAGUGUCUGAGCCAAACUCAGAAUGCUCAUCUGCUAAACACCACUGCAGCCAAGCAGCACAUCAGCAGCCAACUGAUGUCAAGAACCACUUUGCUCUCAAUUCCAUCUGCUUCCCAGAAUCCAUGCUUCUGACAGAUGACAGAAACAUUCUGUCAAAUGUUGACGACAUCCUGGCUGCUACGGUGGCAGCCUGCGGCGUCAUGCCUCAGGACUUUAAAGCCGCAGCCUCUGCGGAGGCUGACAUGACGGCGACGUCGAGUUCUGUUGAUUCUAAAAGACAUGUCCAGACGAUUGAUAUGAGGCAAAUGUCUGGUGGUUUUUCCUCAGCACAACAAGCAGUAAUGGCUAAUGCUGACUCUCACACCCUCAGCAUAACACUAAACGGAGAUCAGACAACUACGGACUGUCAGCACCAACCUGUUCACUCCAAAAGUACUGCUGAACUUGAAAUAAACGGUGACGGGAAGAGCUCUGAGAGGGGUUAUAGCUCAGAAGACCGGGUGUUUGACUCUGUCGUUGACCAGAACAAAGUUAAAGAGAAUCCCAAUUGCUCUGAAACUGAAAAUAAAUUCCUAAUAUGUCCAGAUGGGGAAGACUCCCCCCAAAAAAAGGCUCGUUCAAAAUCCCAAACCAAGCCAGGAUGUCCCGAAGAUGAGGGGGGAUUGGCUAGAUCCAUCAAACGCAGCGGGCAAACGAAGCGGCAAAACUCCAAAGGAAGUGACGUCAGCUCACCAGCCGCGCCACAAACCGUGUAUGAUGGUUGUCCCCAACAAGAGAGGAUCAGGCAGAAGAUUCGAGAAGUGGAGGAGAAACAACCAGAGGUCAAACGUGGCUUCAUUGGCUCCUUCCUGGACUUUAUCAAGUCUGGCCCCAAACAGCAGUAUUCGCAGAGCCCAAUGAGAACGGUCAGUCGCCCAAGAAAGCCCUCCACCUCGUCCAAACCCAACAUUUUGCCUGUUCUGCCUUGCAAAGUCCAGAAUCUGCCUGGACCUUUGCUUCCUCAGGAGAGUCCAGCACUGAGCUCUCAGCAGAAACGCCUGGAGGACGACCUGCAGAAGAACUUGGAGACGCUGCCAUCUUUCAGUUCAGAUGAAGAGGAGAGCACUGGGAGAAACCAGGCUCUGAGGAACAGCAUCACCUCAGCGCUGUCGUCUCUAGAUGAAUCCUCAGAUCGGAAAUCAAGGACAGAUAACCAAAUUCACUGCUUGAUGAUAAGACAGGACCAAGUUCCCUCUGUGUCACGCGGCGUCGCUCACGCUUGCUUGCCACAGAUCGUCUCUCAAGCUCCUAUAGCAGCUUCAGUCUCAGAAAGGACUGCGAUUGUGACCAAAGACCAGCAUGCCGUGACCCCGUCAGGCCAGCUGGCCAUGCAGCUGCUGACUGUGGCUGUGGAGGGACUGACAGACGAGGAGCUGUCCGACAGCGGGGGCGAGGGCAUGUAUCGGGAGAGAGAUGAGUUUGUCGUCAGGAAUGAAGACAUCGAAACCCUGAAGGUGACAAUGAUGGCUGGCAGGGAACCACCAGCCAUCUGGAAAGUGCAGAAGGCUCUGCUGCAGAAAUUUGUGCCAGAACUAAGAGAUGGGAAAAGAGUUUUCUCUGCCACGAAUAGCUACCUUGGUUACUUUGGUGAUGCCAAGACCAUGUACCAUCGAGUGUACGUGAAGUUUUUGGACACGGUUAACAAAAGGGAGUAUGUGCGCGUUUGCAGUCGGAAGCCUCGCUGUAAGCCGCUGAGCUCGCUGAGAGGAGUUCAAGUGAAAACCCUUCUGGGCUUGACGGCCCCGGCUUCCGCUGUGACCCAAAGUCAGAAGCCCAGAGUCAAACAGAUGAAAGCAAAGGUAGAGCCACCCCCCAAGAAGAGAAGGAAAUGGAAGGAAGAGUUUUCCCAGACUGCCUCUGGUUCAUCUACUGAAGAUGAUGAGUCAAACCCUGCACUUUCAUCACGGUUCCUCCAAACACGAACCAUGAGGGAGACGUUCAGAAGCUUCGUGGAGCUCCUUAUCAGCAUCGCCUUGGACGAAGAUGUGAUGACAGCCCUUGAAAGAACAAAUGAUGAGUUGCUGCUGCCGCACAUGAAAAGAGUGGACGGGUUGAUCACUGACAACAGGAAACGUCUGCUCCACAAACUGCACCUCGGGCAAGUCCUGAAGAUGGCCCUGGACAGCUUUCCAGAGAUCUCAGUGGUGACCGAGUUAAAGAAAGAUGGGGAAACUCCAGCUUUUAAGGUACGCCUUAGUGGAAAGGCCUACAACAAGAAGACCAUGAAGCCUCACAAAGUGCCGAGCAAAGUUCCACAGGAGUACACAGUGGACCAGCAGAAAACUCAGUGGUUCUCCCUGUACCAUUCCUUGCAGCAUUACAAAUACCACACAUACCUCACGUGUAAGGAUGAGAUUGCAUCUCUGCGGGUUCAGACGGGGAAUCUGGGCCAGGAGGAGACUGUGAAGAAGUGUCUGGAGAACGGAGCGUGGGUAGAGGGACUCUUUGAUCGCUUUGGAGAGCUAAUCAAUCAGGUGCAGCAGAUCUGCAAAUGAUUCCGCUAUGGCUCACACGGAAAUCGUGGGAGAAAAAGGAGCGCCAAAAACGAUACACGUGUAAUGCUUAAAGACUUUUGCUUCGUCGUGGCAGUGAAGUAAAACAAGUUUGACUCCGGAGCCGCGGAGGCCCUUAGACGACUCUCCAAAAUACCAACACGUCAGACAGAAAACCUGUUCUCCCGUCAGCUGGAGCUCGAAUGUUUCUCUUUUUGUUGUCGGGAAUCGAUGCACUGAGUUUCAAAGCAAAUCGAGCAAUACGUCAUAAGGGCUCAGUUAAUCCUAAUGAACAUGUUAAGUAUUACCAAAACAAUAAAGUUCGAAUAAAGCACAAGAUUUUUGUGAGUACUACAAAUUUGCAUUUGUAUUUAAAGAAGAGGUUUUCUUUGAGCAACUUAAAGGGAAAUCGUAAUAAUGAAACCACUACAGUCAUUCUUAGCAUGAAUUGGUGAAAUGUGCCACAUUCUUCAACAGUUUAUUCCACAGAUUUUGUGAUUUAGGGCUUACCUCCUAAGUCGCUGUGGCCUAGUUGAUUUCUCUCUUGGGAAUUUUUCAUACACAGGUUUCCCCCAAUAAAAUGACCCAAUGGUCACACUGAAUAUGUCAGGUCAGCAAUUGAAGCGGUUUACUCCACAUCUCUAACGUCCCCUUUGACAGUACCUGUGUUGGACAAUCAGAUCAGAGGCUCGGUUCAUCAAAUCUAUGUUUGCUAUAUGUGUGUGUCUGUUUGCUUAUGGGACAUUAAAAAGAUGUCCAUGUAGAUGACAUCAAAAGCGGUGGCAGACCUCUUAAAGGCUGAGGCGCCCGCAGCCGCAUGUUUGAAACCAGUCCUGUGACGUAGGUUACUGUGAGUGGAAAUGAGGGUGCAGGAUUUUUCUGCUCCUUUGUUGUUUUUAUUAGAUUAGUCAUGUUUGUUUCAUGUUUCUGUGUUAUCAAAAGGUUUUCAGGGAGGCACAUUAUUAGAUUUAAAUCUUAUGUAAAAGCAUGAAAAAUGUGCAUGUCAUGGAGCUAAAGGAGGAGAAAAAGCAUCUCAUGAUGUGAUCAGGUACAGAGGACAUCUUAUUUAUAAUGUAAAAUUUUUUUCACACAGUCAUCAUAACAUCUAAUUUAAUAGGUUAUCACAAUAAAAUAUACCAAAAUAAAAACAUUAAUUAACACUAUUUGGAGCAGCUUACCUCCUUUGUCUGCAGACAUUUAAUCAAGAAUCCAAAACUUAAUAGGAAACAAGUGCAACACAAGUUGACUCAAGAGGAAAACCAAUCAUUUUUGAUGAUCAGUUGCAGUCAUUUGGGUGCAAACAUGUGCAGGUGUAAGAAGAAAUCUCACUAAACAUUUAUUUCAACCAAAUCUGCAAUAUAUGUGGAUCUGUGGCAAACUGAUUAAGACUUUGGAUUCUUUUCCUGACUCUGUGUCUCAAUUGUUCCUGUCUAUUUUCUUUUAAACUCCUUUUCUACAUCCCUUAUACACUUGUGCCUUUUCAUAUUUUCCUUGGUAAGAAGCAACUAAAAUAUUUCUAUGGAUUAUAAAGUUUAAUAAACCCUCCUUGUCAUGAUUUUUA